rnacentral:rRNA from 1 species
AUCCUACGGGAGGCAGCAGUGGGGAAUAUUGCGCAAUGGGGGAAACCCUGACGCGGCGACGCCGCGUGAGCGAAGAAGGCCUUAGGGUCGUAAAGCUCUGUUUUAAGGGACGAAUGUCGCGGGUAAUAAUACGAUCUGCGAAUGACGGUACCUUAAGAGGAAGCCCCGGCUAACUACGUGCCAGCAGCCGCGGUAAUAAU